UACGUAGGGGCCGAGCGUUGUCCGGAGUUACUGGGCGUAAAGCGCGCGCAGGCGGCUCGUCAAGCCUGACGUGAAAGCCCCCGGCUCAACCGGGGAGGGUCGUCGGGGACUGGCGGGCUUGAGGUCGGCAGGGGUUGGUGGAAUUCCCGGUGUAGUGGUGAAAUGCGUAGAGAUCGGGAGGAACACCCGUGGCGAAGGCGGCCAACUGGGCCGGACCUGACGCUGAGGCGCGAAGGCGUGGGGAGCGAACGAG
rnacentral:rRNA from 1 species